AUUAAAACCAGAAUGCAAAUCAGCUGUGAACAUGGCAGCAAAGAGAAAGCGGCAAAAAAAGACUGACACAGAAUGUCCAUUUCAUGCGUCUCUGGACGUAUUUCCAGUGGAAUUUGUAUCCAAGACGCGUCUCAGAAAGGGACGUAAAGAGGUGUUGGUGCAUUGGUUGCCUUGUCCAGCCUGUAAGAAGACAUGGCCACCCACCUGGCAGCCUGAAGAUCAUGUUCAAAUUACUCUGAAUCAAUGUUAAUAAUAUUACCGGUUCAUGAAGAGAGUUUUUUGUUUGUUUGUUUGUUUUUGAACCACAGUUUCUGUUAUAGUGGAAAAAUAAAGGUUUUUGUUUUCACUAAGUCCAUUUACAUAUUUUGACCUUUAAAAAGCACCACAUUUUAUGCCUGAAAUAUCCAGGUGCUGGAGCUUCUCCCAGCUACCACAGGCCAAAGGUAUAACAUCACCCUGAACAGAUGAGCAGUCUGUCACAGAGACGACACACACGAUAUACCUGCAUGUUUUUAAUGUGCAUACAACACUGGUGCAGCCAGAGGAAACCCACAGCAACACCGGGGAAACUAUCAACCAGGAACGGCUCAAGGAAAUAUGAAGUCAUUUGUAGUCUUACAUUCUUACAUAGUCAUUUUUAAAUG